UAUUUGUGGGAGUCCUAACUUGGAUCAAAAUAUCUCCUAUUUAUCGGUGCCAUGCUGAACAAAAUUUUAGAGGUUUCGACCAUAGCCAAGAUAUCUCCAAAAGAUUUGUCCUCCAAUCUAGUCGUCGGGGUUCAAUUUAAUGUCUGAAUAUCCCAUAAUCCUUAUUAUCGUCAUCUUGCCGAACAUAAGUUCAGAGGUCUUGGCUGGAGU
rnacentral:lncRNA from 1 species